UACGUAGGGACCAAGCGUUGUUCGGAUUUACUGGGCGUAAAGGGCGCGUAGGCGGCGCGGUAAGUCACUUGUGAAAUCUCUGAGCUUAACUCAGAACGGCCAAGUGAUACUGCAGUGCUAGAGUGGUGGAAGGGGCAAUCGGAAUUCUUGGUGUAGCGGUGAAAUGCGCAGAUAUCAGGAAGAACAGCCCGUGGCUAAAGGCGGCUCUCUAGUACGGUACUGACGCUGAGACGCGAAAGCGUGGGGAGCGAA
rnacentral:rRNA from 1 species